rnacentral:hammerhead_ribozyme from 15 species
AACUGGUCAGGAGCUGAUGUUGCUCUCCUAAUGAGGCCAUGGCAAGUCGAAACCAAUU